CCUACGGGAGGCUGCAGUGAGGAAUAUUGGUCAAUGGACGAGAGUCUGAACCAGCCAAGCAGCGUGAAGGAUGACUGCCCUAUGGGUUGUAAACUUCUUUUAUAUGGGGAUAAACCGUUCCACGAGUGAGAUUUUGUAUUUACCAUAUGAAUAAGGAUCGGCUAACUCCGUGCCAGCAGCCGCGGUAAUACGGUGGAUCCGAGCGUUACCCGGAUUUGUUGGGUUUAAAGGGAGCGUAGGGGGAUUGUUAAGUCAGUUGUGAAAGUUUCGGGCUCAACCGGGAAAUUGCAGUUGAAACUGGCAGUCUUGAGUACAGUAGAGGUGGGCAGAAUUCGUGGUGUAGCGGUGAAAUGCUUAGAGAUCACGAAGAACUCCGGUUGCGAAGGCAGUUCACUGGACUGAAACUGACACUGAGGCUCGAAAGUGUGGGUAUCAAACAGGAUUAGAUACCCCAGUAGUC
rnacentral:rRNA from 1 species